rnacentral:rRNA from 1 species
CCUACGGGGGACUGCAGUGAGGAAUAUUGGUCAAUGGACGAGAGUCUGAACCAGCCAAGUAGCGUGAAGGAUGACUGCCCUAUGGGUUGUAAACUUCUUUUAUAAAGGAAUAAAACGAGGCACGUGUGCCUUUUUCCAUGUACUUUAUGAAUAAGGAUCGGCUAACUCCGUGCCAGCAGCCGCGGUAAUACGGAGGGUCCGAGCGUUAUCCGGAUUUAUUGGGUUUAAAGGGAGCGUAGAUGGGUUGUUAAGUCAGUUGUGAAAGCUUGGGGCUCAACCGUAAAAUUGCAAUUGAUACUGGCAGUCUUGAGUAUAGUUGAGGUAGGUGGAAUUCGUGGUGUAGCGGUGAAAUGCUUAGAGAUCACGAAGAACCCCGAUUGCGAAGGCAGCUUACUAGACUGUGACUGACAUUGAUGCUCGAAAGUGUGGGUAUCAAACAGGAUUAGAUACCCGUGUAGUC